GAUGAACGCUAGCUACAGGCUUAACACAUGCAAGUCGAGGGGAAACGACAUUGAAGCUUGCUUCGAUGGUCGUCGACCGGCGCACGGGUGAGUAACGCGUAUCCAACCUGCCUCUGACCAAGGGAUAACCCGUCGAAAGUCGGCCUAAUACCUUAUGCAGUCGUCGGAAGUCAUCUGAUGACGACGAAAGAUUUCAUCGGUGAGAGAUGGGGAUGCGUCUGAUUAGCUUGUUGGCGGGGUAACGGCCCACCAAGGCAACGAUCAGUAGGGGUUCUGAGAGGAAGGUCCCCCACAUUGGAACUGCGACACGGUCCAAACUCCUACGGGAGGCAGCAGUGAGGAAUAUUGGUCAAUGGGCGAGAGCCUGAACCAGCCAAGUAGCGUGCAGGAUGACGGCCCUAUGGGUUGUAAACUGCUUUUAUGCGGGGAUAAAGUGAGGGACGUGUCCUUCAUUGCAGGUACCGCAUGAAUAAGGACCGGCUAAUUCCGUG
rnacentral:rRNA from 1 species